CUGCCACCAAGGAAGGAUAUUUGCUUGGAGACUGUUUCUUUUGGAGUUUUUCUGUGAGCCCAGGAAAAAGGUAUGUAUGUAGGAGCAGUUUAAAAGGAAGAUAACAUGUUAAAUCACAUGGAUAUUCAGAUGACUACAUUUGGAGAAUAGCCUUACUCCACUUCCAUGUGAAGAUGACUGCACAUAAGCAACCAGAACAAGUGACAAAACUGUAUGAUUUUCUUCUGAAAAGAAAAUAAGAGGCUUUUUGAAAAAUUCCAUGUAAUGAAUGCUCAUCCAGACUUUUUGGUCUGUCAUUGGAAGACUCUUGGUUCCAGCAGCCAGAAGAUUUACAUUGCAAAGAGCCUCUACCAUGGCGGUAAAGUGGGAGCAUAAAUCACAGAUUUAUAGGGGCUAGAAGGGACCUCCAGAGAUCAUCAAGCACAGAUCCCCAGCAAAACAGGCCCCUGACAGCAAGCUACACAGAAGCAUACGGCUGCACUCGAUCACACUUGAACCUGAAGAUCUAGGACAGCCUUAACAGGAAAAAGCAGAAGAGAAACAUGACACGAGGUCAAUUUUGACAGCUUAAAACUGUGGUAUCUGAAGAGCCAAUAGGAUUGCCUGAUUCCUCAGAACAUACAAUGGAUUACAGGAUAAUACAGCCUGGAGGCACUCUCUUUGAAUUUAUGCCUAAGACAGACAACAGCAUAUGCUCAAAUGCAAGGACAUCGGGUAAUGGAAUAUAAAAAAGUUGUGUGCUCAUCAUGUGAUGUGGGAGAGCAGCCAGAGGCCUGUAUUCCCGAGGGGUAUUUCUAGGGGCUGGUGCCUGAUGCUCGGUGUUUGGUGCUUGGCCUCCGUAUGUAGUUAUCAUAUGGCAUGGAGUAUAUAGCACUAGUGAGAAGUAUCAGAUCACCUUUAAGCAUGAAGUGCUCCUGUCACAAGUAAGCAAUGAGAGAUGUUAAAGAAUAAUAAAUCUUCAUGAUGGAUCAGUACAAAAUGACUUGGGAAUUGUGAUUGUGUAAUUUUGAUUCAUUUGAGGAAAUGCUUGGUGCAUAAUGGCCCUCAAACAUCCGUCUGUGUAUUGAAGUUGUUAGUGUUGUAAUUGCAAAGGAUGCAACAAGAAAUUUUUGAAGGUGUGUUGUGAUAUCUUCCUUGUUUAAUUUUAAAUUCUAUUAAGUUCUAUUUUAAUUUCUUGUUCUGGGUGUAGCUCUUUUCUGAGCAGAAGCAUAAAAACAUCCAUAAGAGAGAAAUAUUAAUGGUUAGCUCUCCUGAUAUUUAUUUGUUUGUUUGUUUAUUUAUUUAUUGUCUCGAAAGGAAAGGUAUUUUUGUCAAAAGAUGUAUCUGGACUUUUUCUCAUAUUCAAAAGGCAUAAAAGCUGUGGCCAAUACAGCAAUGCUUUUGUAUGAUAGAAAGGACAUAUUUAUAAAAGGAGCCAGACAACACAUACAGCAAAAUCCAGAGCUAAAGUUGUGCAUCUGGCAGACAAGUAAAGUUAUGUGAAUGCUUCUGAAUAGUCAGUAGAGGGCUUCCAGAGCAGGGAAUCAUACUCAGGACUCGCCUACAAAUUCUGGUCUGAGGAAUGUUUCUUAGCGCUGACCAAAAUUAAACUUUUGCACAAUGGGAAAGUGAGUGCCACCCCGUAUUUAAGAGCUGUAAAGAGCAAUUAGUUCCCCGUCUGUGCUUCACUGCACUGCUCCCUGCACAUACAAUGAAUUUUGCAGUUCAGAGAAGGAAUAGAUUUGAAGACUUCAACUAUUCUAAUGUGGACAUUGUCUUGAAUCUAGAAUUCUGAUACAAAUUUAAAAUAAACUACCAAUAUACUUGCUGAACAUAGCUCACUGAUUGUGUGAAGUGUCUAAAAACACAUUAGCAGGGCAUAAAACUUUCUUUGGGGGAAGACAGCCCACGCAAAUUUUUUUACUAACCUCAAUUCAAUUACUCUGUGGCACAAUAAAAAUUCACUUUUCCUACUUCAUCGAAAAAGAUCUCCAGCUCAGGAACUGCUAAGGAUCUCUGCAGGAUAUGCUCUUACCCCAAUCAGUUUAAGUGUUCUACUCGUGUGGCAUAAUUAAAAAGACUUCUGAGCCUGUCUUUUGAGCAAAACAAAAGCUUGGAGUGCAGAUUCAGAAUUGUCAUCACUGUACUAGUCUCUAAGCUAGCUGGGUAACAAUAUACAUAGAGGAUGUCUUUACUCUUUAUGUUUUCCUUGAAUAUUUCCUAAAAUAUAUUCUUCUGUAAAUAACUGAAAAUGAUUGACAUUCUUAUUGCUAGUGCUUAUGAUUAUACUGCUUGCUAUGUGCAUUCAAUGAGUUUAUCAUGAAAGCAAACUGAACAAAAUUUAGACUUAUUUUGAGAUGACGCUUGAAAUUCAAGGUCAAGGUAGAAAAAAAGAAAUGUAAGAGUUAUCAAUUGCAUAGUGAAAGGAAUAAACUAACAAAAAGAAAAGUUUACUUCCCUUCCACGCUGCACCCCUUUCUUAUUGCUUAGCAACUAAUAAGAUGCCACUUAUUUUCAGACAGGAAACAGAAACAGCAAGAAAGCUGCACACAAAGCUGGUAUCACUGCAAGUGUCCUGCAGAGCUCAUUGGUGCAUGGAGACUUGGCCUUUAAUGAAGAAAUUUGCAUUCAUAUGCAGGCAUGGAUGUGUGGACAUCAGUCCAGACUCUGGGACUUUUAUUUCAUUGAGUCAAAAGAAAUUUGCACAUGAAAGCCACAUCCGCAUUACUUAACUUUGCAGCUCACUCAGGAUUGGCUUCCUUUUAGACAAAACUAUGUCUGAACCUCUGACUAAAUCUUCAGAGGAUUUAUUUUAUUUCUCUUGGAUAUCUGCUAGAUUUGACAAGCAGUGAACACGUUCUGUGUAAAUACCAUUUGAGGUGUUACUUAUCCUUUCCCCCAUUUCUGAAUUUCUUCUUAGAAAAAAAGCUACGUAACUGCAGAAUUUUCCCUACCCUCCUCAGCCAGACCUAUUGCCAGAUGGCAAUGUGAAGGCAUUCAUCUUUUCAAUAUAACCAUGCCUUCCCAAUUUAAUUGCAAAAUUUAUUCUCACAUGCAAUCAGGAAUUAAAGGAAAAGGCAUGUCUGAUAGUAAAUAUUGAUUUCAAUAGACUGAAAAAAGACUGCACUUUGUGUUGCAAUAAGAUUGGUUGUCUGAAAUAAAACAUUAUACAGGAAGUAGAUACUGGGCCAUAGGCGUACGUGAAGCUCGUUAUCCAUAUGGUCAAUUCUUCUGCCAUUAAUGCACAUGUACAAAUGUUUAUGGCUCUUCAGCUGCAAAAAUACAUUAGUGAUUCUCUACAAAUAGCAUUACUGUUACAAGAGUUUGCACUUGAUAGGAAUGUCAGCUGUUGGCCUUUUUGGCUCCUGACGCUAUCGUAUUUAUGAUGUAAACAUAAUUUAUCUUUCUCUCAAAUAAGUACAUAAGCGAAGCAGAAGGGAAAUCCUUGGUGUUUGUAAUGUUGGGGAAUGCAUCAUAUUAAUGAAUGUGGUCAAGAAAAAGCUCUUAGGCUUACUCACUGGGCAGUUACAGACACAGCACUCACAGUGGAAAUUCCUCAAUGGUAUCCUGUUAAUGCACUUCAAUUCUGACCUGAAAGAACCUUUAUGGCUGAGAGGAUAGUUUAAUUUUCAUGUCCAUUCAAUCUUUGGCCUCUGUGCUAAGGCUGCCAACAAGGGUGCAAAUUAACACCAAUUAUUCUGAUGUUUUAUGCACUGGUCUGAGAACAUUGAGUUAUUUUACACAGGCCAUCAAUGCUGACAGAUGUUAAUGACUUUUUGUUAUUUCUGACCUGUUUCAGAUUUCUCUAAGUAGAUAAGUAUUGAAAGGGUCUCUAUUUCACUAAUAAGAUACUGACUUGUAUAACCUUCCUAUCAUUCCCUUUCACGUAUUCCAGUAUGGAUGUUUAUUUUCCCAUUAAAUAGUAACAAAGGGCCAAACUCCAGUCAGCUUCAAAUUCAGUGAAUUUAAGCCAGUAUAAAAUUUAGCCUACUCAUGUUGGUUGCAUUGGGUGUAGACAGUAACAAAUGCUUCAUGGUUAAGCCAAUCAAAUAAAGGAAUAUAUGCAUAUACAUAUCCCCUACCUCAGAGUAUGAGUGUCUUCAAGAUGCUACCUCCUAGUAACUACUAUUGGCAAUGAUAAGUUGUCUCCAGAAUAGACUCUAAGGAGAUAGAUCAUCAUUUUUGAGAAUUGCUGCCUUGAGUUACCUGACAGAACCUGAUGUUUGCAGUUUGGAAAACAUAUAUCUGCUAAGGCUAUAAUUCUUGUCAAGCACAGUCUUGAAAUAUGGAAAUGGACAAUGACAGCAGAAAAGUAUAGCACUGCAUGGUCUUCUGCCAUAUAAGAG